rnacentral:rRNA from 1 species
GUUGUAUGGUUAAGUGACUAAGCGUACACGGUGGAUGCCUUGGCAGUCUCAGGCGAUGAAAGACGUAGUAACUUGCGAUAAGCCCAGAUUAGGUAGUAACAACCAUUUGAGUCUGGGAUUUCUGAAUGGGGAAACCCACUUACAUAAGUAAGUAUCAUUAACUGAAUACAUAGGUUAAUGAGGCGAACCGGGGGAACUGAAACAUCUAAGUACCCCGAGGAAAAGAAAUCAACCGAGAUUCCGAAAGUAGCGGCGAGCGAAAUUGGACUAGCCCUUAAGCUUUACACGCGUUAGACGAACGGUCUGGAAAGUCCGACGAUACAGGGUGAUAGUCCCGUAGUUGACGACGUGUGUUCAGUGAAAUCGAGUAGGGCGGGACACGUGAUAUCCUGUCUGAAUAUGGGGGGACCAUCCUCCAAGGCUAAAUACUACUGACUGACCGAUAGUGAACCAGUACCGUGAGGGAAAGGCGAAAAGAACCCCUGUGAGGGGAGUGAAAUAGAACCUGAAACCGUGUACGUACAAGCAGUAGGAGCAGGCUUUGUCCUGUGACUGCGUACCUUUUGUAUAAUGGGUCAGCGACUUAUAUUCAGUGGCAAGGUUAACCAUCUAGGGGAGCCGUAGGGAAACCGAGUCUUAACUGGGCGUUCAGUCUCUGGAUAUAGACCCGAAACCAGGUGAUCUAGCCAUGGGCAGGUUGAAGGUUGAGUAACAUCAACUGGAGGACCGAACCGACUAAUGUUGAAAAAUUAGCGGAUGACUUGUGGCUAGGGGUGAAAGGCCAAUCAAACCUGGAGAUAGCUGGUUCUCCCCGAAAGCUAUUUAGGUAGCGCCUCGGACGAAUACUACUGGGGGUAGAGCACUGUUAAGGCUAGGGGGUCAUCCCGACUUACCAACCCUUUGCAAACUCCGAAUACCAGUAAGUACUAUCCGGGAGACACACGGCGGGUGCUAACGUCCGUCGUGGAGAGGGAAACAACCCAGACCGCCAGCUAAGGUCCCAAAUUACUACUAAGUGGGAAACGAUGUGGGAAGGCUCAGACAGCCAGGAUGUUGGCUUAGAAGCAGCCAUCAUUUAAAGAAAGCGUAAUAGCUCACUGGUCGAGUCGGCCUGCGCGGAAGAUGUAACGGGGCUAAGUAGUAAACCGAAGCUGCGGCAAUAUACUUUUGUAUAUUGGGUAGGGGAGCGUUCUGUAAGCGGUUGAAGGUGUGUGGUAACGCAUGCUGGACGUAUCAGAAGUGCGAAUGCUGACAUGAGUAACGAUAAAGGGGGUGAAAAACCUCCUCGCCGGAAGACCAAGGGUUCCUGUCCAACGUUAAUCGGGGCAGGGUAAGUCGACCCCUAAGGCGAGGCCGAAAGGCGUAGUCGAUGGGAAACGGGUUAAUAUUCCCGUACUUCUUACAAUUGCGAUGGGGGGACGGAGAAGGCUAGGUGGGCCUGGCGACGGUUGUCCAGGUUCAAGUGCGUAGGCUUAAGAGUUAGGUAAAUCCGGCUCUUUUUAAGGCUGAGACACGACGUCGAGCACCUACGGGUGUGAAGUCAUUGAUGCCAUGCUUCCAGGAAAAGCCUCUAAGCUUCAGAUUGUAAGGAAUCGUACCCCAAACCGACACAGGUGGUCGGGUAGAGAAUACCAAGGCGCUUGAGAGAACUCGGGUGAAGGAACUAGGCAAAAUGGUACCGUAACUUCGGGAGAAGGUACGCUCUUGAUGGUGAAGUCCCUCGCGGAUGGAGCUAUUGAGAGUCGCAGAUACCAGGUGGCUGCAACUGUUUAUUAAAAACACAGCACUGUGCAAAAUCGUAAGAUGACGUAUACGGUGUGACGCCUGCCCGGUGCCGGAAGGUUAAUUGAUGGGGUUAGACUUC